UUUGGAUGUCUGUGUCAUGCGAGGAUGAGAUUUCUUCAACUUGAAUCACCUGGAGCGUCCUCAAUCUUCUUAGUUCACAUUCAAAAGCUCACAGCAAAGCUGGAACUUCUGACCAGGUCAAAUAAGAAAUCCUUGUCGGGAGUGAUAUGAAAUGAACAUCCAGAGUCCAUCACCCAUUCAUCCUUGGUGUAUUGAGUACUCACGGGCAUUCACGCUUCCAGUGACCAUCCUUGCCGCAUAUGAAGCAACCCUUGGAGUUUCUGUUGUUCCUGGGGCGAGAUUUAGAUCGUCCUUGUCUACUCUUGGACCUGCCCUUGUAACCUUUUCCAUUGCCUCUGCCAGUUCUGUUGUCUGAUCGGCCUCUCUCAACCAUCAGACCUUCUCCACCUGAUCUGGAUCAAUUACAGGUGCAGGCUUAACGAUUCCAGCAAGCCCCUUUCCAGUGUCUUUCAUGGCAGACUCUGGUUCAUCCUUAGCAUCAGGAUCUUCUUUUAAAAGCUUCUCGUCAGUAAGUAUAGCUUUUAAACCGAGCACUCCAAAAUGAGCCAUCAUUCGUACUUUCCAUAAUGCGAAGUCACCAUCGCCUUCGAACCGAUCGAUCUCGAUGCGUUCUUUUGACUUCACCA